rnacentral:rRNA from 1 species
CGACCUGAGUUCAGGUGAGGCUA